AAUUCUUAAUCUCGAUAUUGUUGUCCUCAGGUCACGAGCUCACUUUGCUUGGAACCCUAAUUUUUCUUUUCUUUUUUUUUUGGGGUUUGUGAUUUGCUGUUGCUGCGGAGAAUUCUGGCAACGUCUCUGUUCUCAGAGAUUCCCAUUGGUAACAUCUUCAUCAUAGCAAAGCUGAUUUCUUUUAGGGUUUCUUAUUCGUUUUCCAUACCUUACGUUUGCGUUAGGGUUCAUCCUCAUUGCCCCUCCUUGGGUUAGCUUUCGAAUUACCAGUGUAUGGUUCUGUUUUGGUUGACAACUGCGGUUGAUAUUUUCUUUCUGGUUCAAGAGAAGGUGUGAGAAAGUUUUAGAAUUCUGCGUUGCUUCGAGAAUUUGGUUCGAUAGUGGAGUCCUUCGUAUCUGAGAAAUCGGAAGGGGACAAGAUGGAUGGGAAGGUGAAGAAAACGGGUUCCAAGAGAGGAUCUGUGGUGGUUCAGUUCGGUGAUGAGGCUGAUGAUGAUGAACCUAUUGGAUCGCUGUUCAGGUUGAUGAAGCAUAAGAAUUCAAAGAGGAAUAGGGUGGAGACAGAAACCAGUGAUAAUAAAGGGCUGGGAGAAGUAAUGGAGAAGAAAUCGAUCUCAGCAGUGGGGGAUUCUGAAGAUAUGGAUGAUACUUUAGCUAUUUUCAGGAAGCGAUUGAAGGGUCUCAAGAAAGGAAUCAUGAAGGUUAAGAGUUCGGUAUCGAGUGCUCCCAAGGAAGUCGAUUCAGAUUCUACUCUGAAAUCACUCUCAGAGACGAAUGAGGAAGGUCAGGAUAUGGCUGGUGGUGGAACUGAUGUUGAAAUGGACACUGAUGGGAGGAAUAAGCCCAGGAAAAAUGUAAAGAAAGCCAAGACUCAAUCAAAACCAGAGGCUGAGUUGAUGUGUUCAAAAUCUCAGGCUGCUCCAUCAGGGAGAAAGACCGAGCAAGUGUUCACCGAGAAGCAAAUAGAUGUAGCUGAUGGAUCUUCAGGUGAUGAAUCCAAGAGAGCAUCAUCAGACGAUGUGCUUCAUGCUGAUGCUAGAAAAGAAGUUGCAGUUGUUAGUCCUAGGGACAAUGAUCGGGAGGUUCAUGGAGAGGAGCCAGCUACGGUUUCAGCUUAUUCUCGGAAGGAAAAUGCCAUUAUGUGCGAUUGUGGCAUUCAAGUCAACUUUGAAGGUAGAUCCUUAGAACCUAAGGGACAGGGUGCUAUGUGUCAAAAUUGCUGGUAUUCUCUGUGUCAAGAUGCUUCCAAAGGAAGUGGUGCUCAACUUCAUGAUGACCUUCCUGUGAAAGAUGAAACUUCUCAAGCUUUACCUCUUUCUGUAGCUCCCAAUGAAUCUGAAAGUUUCCAUGGUGAUGCGGUUUCAUUGCCUGAUUCCGGGCUAAAGGAGGACAAGGCAUCUAAUGUGCUUCGCCCCGAGCGCGUUGCUCGAAAGCGUAGGCUUGGGGACAUGGCUUAUGAAGGAGACAUUGAUUGGGAGAUUCUGACCAAUGAGCAAGGCUUUCUUGAUAGUCAAAGCGAUAAGUCCUUUAAAGGGAGCGAUAAGUUUGGUUCCUCACAAAAUGUUUCCAAGGAAACUGACAUUGGCAUAGCAGCUGCAGUAACAGCUGGACUUAAAGCCAGAUCUGUAAGUCCAAUUGAGAAGAUUAUAUUUAAGGAAGUGUUGAAGCGCAAAUCUGGUCUCCAAGAGUACCUUAAUCGCAGGAAUUUCAUCUUAGGUCUGUGGAGCAAAAAUGUUAGCCGCAUCUUGCCUGUCACUAUGUGUGGUGUUGCUGGUGACCCUUCCGAGAGCGAAUCUCCUUCUGCUUCCCUAAUCAGAGAGGUCUACAAGUUUCUUGAUCAAAGAGGUUACAUAAAUGCUGGAAUUGCAUCCAUGAGGGGCAAUCGGGGAUCUUCCACAAAUCAUGAUUAUGAUCUCUUCCAUAAGAAAAAACUUGAGGAUAGUUCUAUAGCUUCAGUUACUGAUUCAGAGGAUGGAGUUGCUUUUAUCCUUGGUGAGGUUAAAGCUACUGAAUCGACUAUUGAUGGUAAGAGAGGUGUUCUCUAUGAUGAUGAAAAUCAAGGGAUAGGAUGUUCAAAAAGCAUGGGGGUUGUCCCUGCACCAAAUGUGGAUCCUUCCAACAAAACAGAGUGUAAAGCAAUCCCAGCUGAUGAUUUCAGAGAGCAUGUCAAUGUAGAUACUGCGCAAAUUGAUGCAUCUGCCAUGUUAAAGGCUGAAAGGUUGCCUGAAUUGACAUCAGUAGUGAAGCCUGAUUUUGUAAGUACCCUGCCUGCGAUGAAAAAUGAUCAAGUGGAUGGAAAGGACGGUUUUCCAUGUGAUAUGAAAGAUGAGAAGAAAGUAUUAGUCAUUGGAGCUGGUCCUGCAGGAUUAACUGCUGCACGCCAUUUGCAGCGUCAGGGUUUUUCUGUCACAGUUCUUGAGGCAAGGAAUAGGGUAGGUGGUCGUGUAUAUACAGACCAGUCAUCUCUUUCAGUUCCUGUUGAUCUUGGGGCUAGCAUAAUUACAGGCAUUGAGGCUGAUGUGGCAUCUGAAAGAAUGCCAGACCCUUCAGCACUCAUCUGUACCCAAUUAGGUCUAGAGUUGAGUGUAUUGCAUGGAUUUUGUCCUUUAUAUGAUAUUGUAACUGGGCAAAAGGUUCCUCCAGACUUAGAUGAUGUUCUCCAAGCAGAAUUCAACAGUGUAAUUGAUGAUGUUGAUUUGCUUGUUGAGGAAAUAGGUAAGGAAAUAGCAAAUAAAAUUUCCCUUGAGGAUGGUUUAGAAUAUGGCCUUCGAAGGCUUAGGCUGCCGGAUGACAAAGUGGACAUUGAAAGCUUAGGGCUUGGCAAUUCAGCCGUUGCUUCUCAUCUGGAAGCUGGCAAUAUUAAUGGAAGCCCUGUCCAGAAUGGAAAUAUGGAAGAUGAUAUUUUGAGUCCUCUGGAGAGAAGAGUUAUGAAUUGGCACUUUGCUCAUGCAGAAUAUGGUUGUGCUGCUGCUCUCAAGGAAGUGUCGCUUCCUAACUGGAAUCAAGAUGAACUUUAUGGAGGAUUCGGAGGACCUCAUGCUAUGAUCAAGGGUGGUUACAGCAGAGUUGUUGAGUCGCUUGCACAAGGACUUGAUGUUCGCUUGGAAAAUGCAGUUACUGAGGUUUCAUAUAGCUCGAAUGCCUCACCCACAGUUGAUAAGAAGCAUAAAGUUAGAGUUUUGACUUCAAAUGGCAGUGAAUUUCUUGGAGAUGCUGUUCUCGUCACCGUCCCUCUUGGAUGUUUGAAAGCAGAAACCAUUAAGUUCUCCCCAUCCUUGCCAGACUGGAAAUAUUCUUCGGUCAAGCGGCUUGGGUUUGGAGUUCUGAACAAAGUAAUUUUGGAGUUUCCGGAUGUAUUUUGGGAUGAUAGCGUGGAUUACUUUGGGGCAACUGCUGAGGAAACGGACCAGAGAGGUGAAUGUUUUAUGUUUUGGAAUGUCAAGAAAUCUGUGGGGGCUCCUGUUCUUAUAGCUUUGGUGGUUGGGAAGGCUGCUAUUGAGUUUCAAAAGAAGAGCAAGUCUGAGCAUGUGAACCAUGCAAUGAUGGUUCUUCGUAAGCUUUUUGGUGGGGAUUUGGUGCCUGAUCCUGUUGCGUCAGUGGUGACUGAUUGGGGCACUGAUCCUUACAGUUAUGGCGCCUACUCAUAUGUUGCCAUUGGUGCUUCUGGUGAAGAUUAUGAUAUUCUGAGCAGGCCUGUUCAAAACUGUUUGUUUUUUGCUGGUGAAGCAACAUGCAAAGAGCAUCCCGAUACCGUUGGUGGUGCAAUGAUGACUGGCCUCCGUGAAGCUGUGCGCAUAAUUGAUAUAUUUAGAAGUGGAAAUGAUUAUACAGCUGAAGUAGAGGCAUUGGAAACAACACAGAGGAAAUCUAUAUCUGUAAAGGAUGAGGUCAAAGACCUGAUGAAGAGGCUUGAAGUGGUUGAGCUAUCUAAUGUCUUGGCUAGGCAAUCAUUGCUACGGAACAUGUUCUUCUCUGCUAAAACAACUGUUGGACGUCUGCAUUUAGCGAAAGAGUUGUUGAACUUGCCUGUUGAGACUUUAAAAUCCUUUGCGGGUACAAAAGAAGGGCUUGCAGUUCUGAACUCUUGGAUACUGGAUUCAAUGGGGAAGAAUGGAACCCAGCUCUUGCGUCACUGUGUCCAUAUUCUUGUUCGAGUUUCAAGUGAUCUACUUGCCGUGCGUCUGUCAGGCGUUGGGAAGACUGUGAAAGAAAAAGUUUGUGCGCACACAAGCCGUGACAUCCGUGCCAUAGCAAGCCAGCUCGUUAAUGUGUGGCUUGAACUAUUCCGAAAAGAUAAAGCUAAUGGAAGACUGAAGCCAUCAAGGCAAACAAAUACUGCAACUCUCUCAAGAAGGAAAGGAAGACUGAAUAGUGGGGAUUUGGAAAGUAAGCCAAAGGCGAGCAAUGGCAAGGAAAUGAAAAUGGAUGGAGAGCUUGAGGACAACCAGCUACCGUUGACAGAGGAAGAACAGGCUGCAAUUGCCGCUGCAGAGGCUGCUCGUUCAGCGGCAGAAGCGGCUGCAAAGGCAUUUGCUGAGGCCUAUCAUAAUACAUCGUUGCAGCUUCCUAAAAUUCCAUCGUUUCACAAAUUUGCUAGAAGAGAGCAGUAUGCAAAGAUGGAUGAAUCUGAUUUCAGGAAGAAAUUUCCUGGAAGUGUUUUAGGAAGACAAGAUUGUAUGUCGGAGAUAGACUCUAGGAACUGCAAAGUUCGUGACUGGUAUGAUUUCCCUGCAGCUUGUCUUGACAUUGAUAGUUCAAAGGUUCCUGUGGAUAACCAAUCACAGAGGAGCCAUUCAAACGAGCUUGUGUCCAAUCCAAAGUUCACAGAAUGUUCUGGAGAAAGUGUGGCUGCAGAUAGCAGUAUCUUUACCAGGGCAUGGGUUGAUACUGGUGGUAGUAGUGAGGGCUUCAAGGAUUGUCAAGCUAUAGAUAGAUGGCAGUCUCAAGCAGCUGCCGUGAAUCCUUAUUUUUUCAAUCGUGCUUUGCAUAUCAAGGAUGAAGAAGAUUCCAAUGCAUGCUCAAGACAGCCCCCUAGCCAGGAGCAUGAAAAACGGGCAAAUGAAAGUUCACUGUCUCAGGUUACGGUGAAUAAGGAGCCUCAUAAAACUCAUCCUCGAGGUGCAGAUCGUUUGAAACAGGCAGUUGUGGACUUUGUUGCAUCAUUGCUUAUGCCUCUGUAUAAAGCAAGGAAAAUUGAUAGAGAUGGCUACAAAUCAAUUAUGAAGAAAACGGCGACAAAGGUAAUGGAACACACCACGGACGUGGAGAAAACAAUGUCUGUUUCACAAUUUCUCGACUCCAAGCGCAAAUAUAAGAUUCGUGAUUUUGUAGACAAGCUAAUCGAGAAGCACAUGGCAGCAACUCAAGCUCCAAAACCUUGACCGGCCCAGGGGUAUACAAAAUGUGGUUUUGGAAUAACUUGGGUUGGAGCAGUUCGGUCGGUUUAUUGUAGCAAGAAUCGUGGCCAAUGGUAGUGGAGCAGUUGGAAUUCGGCUGGUUGGGCAUAUCUCUUCUCAGAACCACAGCAUCUCUCUCUCUUUUUCUUUUCCCGGAUGCGGCUAUCGGCUAAGUGGAUGGUAGGAUGUAGAUAGUUUCCUGGUGAUAUCAUGCCAUUAGACAUGUGGCUUUAUCAGGUUCUGGUACCAGACAUGUCGGAAAAUUGUUGACCUAGCUCUGAUGUGCAAGUGCAAGUGCAAGGUAUGAGUGAUAUCAUAUUCACUCGUCUCCUGUGUAGAACCAAGCUUCCAUAUGAUCUGAAGGCUUCUCAGUGCAUGUUCUUGUCAAGAGGAUGUGAAACCAGCCCCCAUCCUCUUCUUCAUCAUUCAGUUCUCUCAUCAGAUGAUGAUGAUUCAUGUUCUUGACUUCUGCUCGUUGAUUCUAGUAUUGUAUAGAGCUCAGGAUAAUUCAGUUUUAACCGCCAUACCAAAACAUUCUUGAGAAAAAGGAUGGCUUAUGGCUUAUGUCCUGACUUCCCUUUAGUAGCAAACAUGUGGUAAGUCUCUUUGUACAGAGAUACAGCACUUGCAGGUGUGAUGAAGAUCCUAAAGUUUCUCGUAGAAUUCCUCCAUGGAUGAAGAAGAAGCUCUCAGCUCUGGCAUUUUCGACUUUGCAGCAAGCUUCCGUACCUGCUGCUCUCAUCCAAGGAACGGGUUUCUCAAGAUGUGAAGGACCGAAGGGUAUUAGGCCGUCUUCUAGCUUGAGGGCGUAUCGUUGCUGGGAAAUAGCCGACUGCGAAAUCCGACAUCCAGUUAUCUAAAUUCACCUGUCUCUCUUCAAUCUAACUGCUGAUUGUACAUUUCCAGUCAUUUCAGUGAGAAGAAGCGGUGUUGGCGUCUUUUGGUUUGAAAAGAGACCUUUGCUGAUCCGUAGCUUUGUCUUUGUUUCAGGCACAUUCUUCUUCAAGAGUUCAGGAUGUUUCAGGUACACAAACAUAUUAAUGAAUGCAGAAUGGUAUAAUAUAUAUAUAUACACACACACACUUCGAAUUCGGUACGAACUAUUAUCGACAUUUUAACAGAUUAUUCGUUUGGAUUCA